rnacentral:rRNA from 1 species
AGAGUGAACGCUGGCGGUAGGCCUAACACAUGCAAGUCGAACGGCAGCACAGGAGAGCUUGCUCUCUGGGUGGCGAGUGGCGGACGGGUGAGGAAUACAUCGGAAUCCACCUUUUCGUGGGGGAUAACGUAGGGAAACUUACGCUAAUACCGCAUAAGACCUUCGGGUGAAAGCCGGGGACCUUCGGGCCUGGCGCGGAUAGAUGAGCCGAUGUCGGAUUAGCUUGUUGGCGGGGUAAAAAGCCCACCAAGGCGACGAUCCGUAGCUGGUCUGAGAGGAUGAUCAGCCACACUGGAACUGAGACACGGUCCAGACUCCUACGGGAGGCAGCAGUGGGGAAUAUUGGACAAUGGGCGCAAGCCUGAUCCAGCCAUACCGCGUGGGUGAAGAAGGCUCGGUUGUAAAGCCUUUGUGGAAGAAAUCCUGCCGAUAAUACUCAGUAGGAUGACGGUACCAAAGAAUAAGCACCGACUAACUUCGUGCCAGCAGCCGCGUAA